CGCUGCAGCCUCGGCCCGCGCCCAGGGACAGCGAGCCCGGGGCUUGCCAGCGUCCGCACGGCCGCGGAGGCAGGCGCGGGGCCUUCACGCCCGCGGGACGGAGCUACAGGGGGAAGUUGUGACAGGAGGAUGGGGAGGCUGAGAGGAAAAGCAGUAUCCUUGAUAGGAGGCCAAAAGAACAGCUCACCCCAGGAAGAUAUUUGAGAACCACCAAGUUGCCACAUUGCCAGGUAGUGUCAUAGGAAAUACCUUACUGGAGAAGACCCACAGCCUUUUGAUCCCAGUAACCUGUUUCCAACAGUGGCGUCAGAGGUGGUGCAGGAAAGCUGCAGUAGACUUACGAAAGAGAAAACAACAAAAGAAAUUGGGAAAAUAGACCAUAAACUCUCCAUCAGAAUGAGGAACCUUUAAAAAAUUGCACUUUUAUUUCUCUCUUUCAGUAUAUCUUUGGUUUACUUUAUUUGAUACAGUAUUGUUGUUGGGUUUGUUAUACAAUACUGGAUUGUAUAAUACUGUCAUACAGUACUAUUGUUGUUUUGAAAGGAAAGAGCAAAACUAAAUUACUUGUGUAAUAGUGCAACGUGGCUGUCUCUGCUUGUCAGUCAGAAUUAAAUUCAGAAACUUCAGCUGUAUAAGCACAAACUGCUUCUCCAUAACCAGUAACUCCCUUG
rnacentral:lncRNA from 1 species